rnacentral:rRNA from 1 species
GACGAACGCUGGCGGCGUGCUUAACACAUGCAAGUCGAACGGACAGGCCCUGCUUUUGUGGGUUGCUCGAGUGGCGAACGGGUGAGUAACACGUGAGUAACCUGCCCUUGACUUUGGGAUAACUUCAGGAAACUGGGGCUCAUACCGGAUAGGAGCUCCUGCUGCAUGGUGGGGGUUGGAAAGUUUCGGCGGUUGGGGAUGGACUCGCGGCUUAUCAGCUUGUUGGUGGGGUAGUGGCUUACGAAGGCUUUGACGGGUAGCCGGCCUGAGAGGGUGACCGGCGACAUUGGGACUGAGAGACGGCCCAGACUCCUACGGGAGGCAGCAGUGGGGAAUAUUGCACAAUGGGCGGAAGCCUGAUGCAGCAACGCCGCGUGCGGGAUGACGGCCUUCGGGUUGUAAACCGCUUUCGCCGGUGACGAAGCGUGAGUGACGGUAAUGGGUAAAGAAGCACCGGCUAACUACGUG